rnacentral:snRNA from 1 species
AUAUGAGGGCAAUUGGAUUGCUGUAUCUAUUGCCUCAUUGUUUGCCGGAAUUGAGUUGGCUAACCUGUCUAACUAAGACAGGUGUCCUCUGCCUUAUGCACCCUUCCUUAUAUGUGUGUGUAACUCCAAAAGCUAUGCAUUUGGUGGAUAAGGGCAUAUUCUCAAAGAGACAGGACUACUCUUCAGUCAAGAGUAUAUCAAUGACUGUAAGCCUUUGCUGAAACCUACAACAGACAGCUCUGAAAUGCAACCCAAUGAGAGUCCUCCCUGCUCCCUGUGAAGGCACAGUGGGAAGAUG